rnacentral:rRNA from 1 species
GUGAAUCAUCGAGCCUUUGAACGCAGCUUGCGCCUUUUGGUAUUCCGAAAGGCAUGCCUGUUUGAGUGUUGUGUAGACUCAACCUCAAGGGGUUUCUUGAGGAUGGAUUUGGAUGUCUGCCUCUUGGCUCAUCUCGAAAGCGUUAGUGGAUAGCCACGGUAGAGAUGUGAUAAGUUUCAUCUGGACCGCUGGUGACACUCUGCUCACAACCACCCUGGCCCUCACAUGGGGGCCGCCUUUUUGCUAUGGACCUCAAAUCAGGUAGGACUACCCGCUGAACUUAAGCAUAUCAAUAAGCGGAGG